UACAGAGGUCUCAAGCGUUGUUCGGAUUCAUUGGGCGUAAAGGGUGCGUAGGUGGCGCGGUAAGUCGGGUGUGAAAUCUCGGAGCUUAACUCCGAAAUUGCAUUCGAUACUGCCGUGCUCGAGGACUGGAGAGGAGACUGGAAUUCAUGGUGUAGAGGUGAAAUUCGUAGAUAUCAAGCGGAACACCGGUGGCGAAGGCGGCCUUCUGGACAGUGACUGACGCUGAGACGCGAAAGCGUGGGGAGCAAACAGG
rnacentral:rRNA from 1 species